CGAGGCCGAUAGGCGUAGGCGAUGGACAACAGGUAGAGAUUCCUGUACCAGUGCUAAUUGUUUAACCGAUGGGGUGACACAGAAGGAUAGGGAAUCGCACGAAUGGAAAUGUGCGUCCAAGCAGUGAGUGUGAGAAGUAGGCAAAUCCGCUUCUCGCGAAGCAUGAGCUGUGAUGGGGAAGGAAAUUAAGUACGGAAGUUCCUGAUUUCACGCUGUCAAGAAAAGCCUCUAGGAAGAGUAGUACUGCCCGUACCGCAAACCGACACAGGUAGAUGAGGAGAGAAUCCUAAGGUGAGCGAGAGAACUCUCGUUAAGGAACUCGGCAAAAUGACCCCGUAACUUCGGGAGAAGGGGUGCUCUAUUAGGGUGCAAGCCCGAGAGAGCCGCAGUGAAUAGGCCCAGGCGACUGUUUAGCAAAAACACAGGUCUCUGCAAAACCGUAAGGUGACGUAUAGGGGCUGACGCCUGCCCGGUGCUGGAAGGUUAAGAGGAGUGCUUAGCUUCGGCGAAGGUACGAAUUGAAGCCCCAGUAAACGGCGGCCGUAACUAUAACGGUCCUAAGGUAGCGAAAUUCCUUGUCGGGUAAGUUCCGACCCGCACGAAAGGCGCAACGAUCUGGGCACUGUCUCAACGAGAGACUCGGUGAAAUUAUAGUACCUGUGAAGAUGCAGGUUACCCGCGACAGGACGGAAAGACCCCGUGGAGCUUUACUGCAACCUGAUAUGGAAUGUUUGUACCGCUUGUACAGGAUAGGUAGGAGCCGAAGAGACGUGUGCGCUAGCAUACGAGGAGGCAAUGGUGGGAUACUACCCUGGCUGUAUGACCAUUCUAACCCGCCACGCUUAGCGCGUGGGGAGACAGUGUCAGGUGGGCAGUUUGACUGGGGCGGUCGCCUCCUAAAGAGUAACGGAGGCGCCCAAAGGUUCCCUCAGAAUGGAUGGAAAUCAUUCGCAGAGUGUAAAGGCACAAGGGAGCUUGACUGCGAGACUGACAAGUCGAGCAGGGACGAAAGUCGGGCUUAGUGAUCCGGUGGUUCCGCAUGGAAGGGCCAUCGCUCAACGGAUAAAAGCUACCCCGGGGAUAACAGGCUUAUCUCCCCCAAGAGUCCACAUCGACGGGGAGGUUUGG
rnacentral:rRNA from 1 species